rnacentral:rRNA from 1 species
UCACUUUCAACAACGGAUCUCUUGGCUCUCGCAUCGAUGAAGAACGUAGCGAAGUGCGAUAAGUAGUGUGAAUUGCAGAAUUCCGUGAAUCAUCGAAUCUUUGAACGCAAAUUGCACUCCCUGGUAUUCCGGGGAGUAUGCCUGUUUGAGGGUCUUUA